UUUAUAAAAUCCAGGGAGCUUUAUAAUUUGUUAACCACUCUUCCAGUUUGUUUGCCACUUUCAAUGAAUCAUGCAUAUAUAACCCUUGAUCCCUUGGCUCUUGCGCACCCUUUUGGUUGUGGUAUCUCUAACAGCUGACAUGCAAUAAAAAAAUAAAUACAUACGCUAUAUAUAGCCCUGUAACCUGGAGAGGUCUGCAGUAUCUGCAGAGUCAUGCGCACACUGCAUCUGCUGUGCUCCAGACAUAAUGAAACGUAGCCAGCUCCCUUUGAGCAGAGGAUGUCGAUGGUCUCCCUGAAGCAACAGUGACACACAAACUGUGAAAUGGAGCAAUUAUCUCCAGCAUCAGCCUGAAAGGGACCCACUAAUCCCAGCUGUGCCACCUACACCUCAAGGAUUGCAGCUAUUAAGUCAGACAAUUUAUCACCAUGUUCUUGAGAAUAAUCAGGCUUCUCGUCAUUCCCAACCAAGAAUCUCAUCUCAGCAUCCAGGACUUUUUUAGAAAUACAACUAAUUGCCCACAACAUUGGGAAAGGCUUCACUGGACCUCACGCAAUUCUCCUGGAUU